GAAAGGAUUACCGGUGGAGGAUGGGCAUGCGGCGCAUUAGGCAGUAGGCGGGGUAACGGCCCACCUAACCGGCGAUGCGUAGGGGUUCUGAGAGGAAGGUCCCCCACACUGGUACUGAGACACGGACCAGACUCCUACGGGAGGCAGCAGUGAGGAAUAUUGGUCAAUGGGCGGGAGCCUGAACCAGCCAAGCCGCGUGAAGGAAGAAGGCGCCAGGCGUCGUAAACUUCUUUUGUCGGGGAACAAAGGGCGCCACGUGUGGCGUUGUGAGUGUACCCGAAGAAAAAGCAUCGGCUAACUCCGUGCCAGCAGCCGCGGUAAUACGGAGGAUGCGAGCGUUAUCCGGAUUUAUUGGGUUUAAAGGGUGCGUAGGCGGUCCGGAAAGUCAGCGGUAAAAGCCCGGGGCUCAACCCCGGCGAGCCGUUGAAACUGUCGGACUAGAGACGGCGAGAAGUACGCGGAAUGCGCGGUGUAGCGGUGAAAUGCAUAGAUAUCGCGCAGAACUCCGAUUGCGAAGGCAGCGUACCGGCGCCGGACUGACGCUGAGGCACGAAAGCGUGGGUAUCGAACAGGAUUAGAUACCCUGGUAGUCCACGCAGUAAACGAU
rnacentral:rRNA from 1 species